UCUUACCUAUAAUACUUGUGUAUUCACAUAUAUUAUAGUUUUAAUCGAACUCUUUCAAAAUGGUGACGUGGUAUUUACACAGCUCAGCUAAAAUCGAAGUGAAGUGCAACAUAUUACCAGAGGUGCAUCACCUAGAAAUCGCAAUAAAUAUUCCGAGAGCAUAAAAUUUCGCAGUUAUACGAACGCAAACGGUGAAAUUUUCCCGCAGAAGCGUAUAAAUAAUGGAGAAAUCUAUUCUUAUUUAACAAGGCGUCACGGCAACAGAGGAGCACCCGGCAGGGGGUGAUUGGAUUAACUUCGCGAAGAAGGGCGCAGCAACGAUAACGACACAAAGCGAAUUCUUUGAAUAAAGUAUCCUGACAAGGGGCGAAUAUCGUAGCAGGCGAUCACUUGGAAAAUUUUCAAGGCAUCGCUGUACGCGUUUCAUCGAAUAUAUAGUAAUGUAGAAAAUUUCCACUUUAAUAAAUAAAAACCUAUAAAUCGUAUUCACAAUCUCUUCAAGUACAUUUUAUUGUAACAAAGACUCCGACUGAUUAUUUUGUUUUGUUAUUACCAAAUAUUAUCCCUCUCUAUCAGUCAAUAUAUUUAUCAGCUUGUCAAUCAUUGUAUUAACGUCAAAUAACUUGAAUUACAAAUCCUUUUAUCACUUUCUAAAUACUGCGAGAGAAAGUGAAACUUCGAACGUUUGAAGCUUGAUUUGUAUGGCCAUGAGCUGUGGAAAGAGGAGGGCAAAAUAUUCAAGGAUGCCAUAAGUCAUGUACUUUGUGGCACGUAAGAACAGUUCGAAAUAACAGCAUUUGAAUUUGAUGGAUAUGUAAAAAUUCGAAUAAAUGAAAAUGGAAAUGCAAAGUUAACGAUGAAAUAAUAUUUAGAAGCGGUGCUUGUCUAUUUACCGUAUUUUCAUGGAAUCGGCAAAGUAUACAUUUAGAAACGACAAUUUUAUUUGAUUUUGGACACAACACCAAUUUCUUCAACCUCUCUACAAUAUAAAAAAUAUUGUUGCUUGUAAUAUUAAAAUAUUGAAAAUAUUGAAAUAUUGUUCGUUUUAACAAUUACACCUUUGGCUACACCUAGUAGAACCUUCCCUAUUUUAUCUAUAUCACAUUAAAAUACUUCUUUUCAGUCACAAAGUGUGUCACAAAGUCUAUCAUAAAGUCUUUUUUCCUGUAGUCCUCGAUUAGAGUACAUCUUGUUGAAACUAAGCAAGUGAAACUUUUAAACGAUACCGUACAUAUACAAACGCUAUCGAUAUCAUAUCUGAGAAACGAAAUCCUUAUUACCCUUUUAUCCCACGUUUGUCUUUAUUUAAUACCGAGCAAGAACAUCGAAAAGAAUGUAAGUCCCUUUUCCCUAUUCUACCUGGCACGUUCGCAGCAUCGAUCGACCCUCUGUUUCUCUUGCAAAUCCGCUCUCUUUCUCUCUCUAGCCAUAAAAGCGAUAAAAGCGUCUCUUUUCUACGAAGUUCGAACUACAAUUGGUAAAAGUCGGCCUGGCUGGGGGUAACCUUUCUCGUCUCGUCGUACAAUUGUCUCGAACGGCAAGCAAACGGAGUACGGUUUCGAAGGAGCAGAGGAUCGGCCAGGGAAUAAACGAAGAAGACUCGAAAGGGAUGUCUGUGCGAACGGGAUGAACACGUAGGACCUCGGGUGGUAGAAAAUGUAACGACUUUAUUCAAGCCAAGUGCUUGCAAUCGCGUCGCGCGUUUCGCGACGACUUAGCGGCAGCUUUUAUUGAUAUUCGAACUCGAUAUUCGAACAUACCGAGCGAUUACGAGCCUUCCAGCAGCGUCUCAGGAUCACGUUCGAUGACCGCGAUAACAGUAAACGUUUAUUCUUACGCAGUUAUCCAGCGCGUGCUGGUAAAGAAAGAGUUACAAAAUACUUUUCCAAACGUGGCGCAUGCCGGUAUUACGCCUGCAUCCAACAAGAAUUGAUGCUCCUUUCACCGGUUCCUGGUAAUAUCAUAGCUCGAUGUUCCUGGAAAACGAUCCUUCUGGGUACGGUUUCUUUUUAUCCUCGCUAAUGAAUUCCUCGUUACUUCGUGGAAAAAGACAAGCGAUAGUUGUUAUACAACUGGGACCGGUAUAUUUGUGGCACGACACUUUUUGUUGAAUUUUUUUAAAUAAUGUGUGGAUAAUGUAUAGUUUGAAAUAUCGCAUGAUCACAUGUAAUUUUGUAAUUUAGCCUCUUUCGUAGCACUAUAUGCAAAAGUCAUUGUAAUUAAUCAGAGUCUUUUAUAUUAACACAUUGGUAUAAUUAUUAAUAAUAUUUAUCCAUAGUGUUAAUAUUUGUUCUACUUUUCUGCGUUAUUUGCUGGGCCUUCUUGAUAAUUCGUUGAUUCUUAUUCGUGUCUAUCCUCGUUUUUUUUCUCUCUUCUUGUAUAUCAUACGCAUAUGCAUUUGCUUUUUGUUUCGUUUCUUUAUCUUCUUCUUUCUUUUGCCCUUUUAUUCUUCCGUGAGUUACGUUAAUCUGUUAUAUCAAAGGGUUUACCCUUGUAAAU